rfam:Ipomoea nil DNA, scaffold: scaffold2694, cultivar: Tokyo-kokei standard.
UCCGUUGUCGUACAACGGUUAGGAUAUCUGGCGUUUACCCAGGAGACCCGGGUUCAAUUCCCGGCAACGGAA